rnacentral:antisense_RNA from 1 species
AGGGACCCGGCAGCCAGACAGACGGACAGGCGGACCGCUAGGGAGCUCACGUACCCGGACACACGCACGAGCGCAGAACAAAGGGCCGGACAUGCUCCAGCCCGCUCCGCCUGCGCCUCCGCCUUGCGCGCGGGGGCCCCGGUUACCUGCGCAGUGCCCUUGGUGUGGUGGAAGCAAGGUGCCAUGUGAUAAGUAAGCCUCCAGAGAGGCCUGCAUGGCAGGAUCCAAUGUCUCUAGCCAACAGCAUCUGGGGACCUGAGACCUGCCAACACCCUUGUGAGUGAGCCUGGAAGUGGAACUCCUGCUCUUGAACCUUGAGGUGACUAUAGUGCUGGCUGACACCUUGACUGCAGUCCCUGAGCUGGGGGGCCCAGCUGAUCUACUCCCAGAAUCCCCCCUACUAAAACAGUGAUAUAAUAAAUGCUUAUUGUUUCAAGCUGUUAAAUUUUAGAAUGCAUUCACUGAAAAAAUUAGGAUAUCAAACUAUAAACCAUUUACUUAGUCAACCUUUUAGGGAACUAAUACGGCCAUAAAUAUCAAGCCUCUUACAAUUUUGCACAUUCUUUGACUUUGUAGUUCUACGUCUAUAAACUUCUCUUAAGGGAAAUCAUGGAUGCUAACAAAGAAA